UUUAGCUAAUAAUAUUAGACGAGAUCUAUUUUAAGCAUGAUUAAAAAUAUUCAAUUUGUAACCAAUACAAAAAUCGAAAAGUCAGACACUAGAGCGAAACUGAGGCCAGUCUUUGAGGCAUUAGAAGCAUCUUUUUUUAUUGUUUGGAGCUGAAUAUUCAGCAAUAGACGAUAAUAUGGUUCCAUAUUAUGGAAAACAUCAUGUUGAAACAGUUCAUUCGAGGAAAACCUAUUCGUUUUGGCUAUAAAAGUUAAGCCCACUGUUCUAAAGGAGGAUGCUUACAUUCCUUUGAUUUCUACAGUUGGAAAAACCCAAGACAUUAUUUUAAAAUAGAUAAUUAUUUAAUACAUAAAGGUUAGGUUAGGAAGGUUGCGUUGAAUAAAGUUCCGAAAUGAAAUAUAAAAUUAAUUAAGUCCAUUAUAUCAAUGUGUUCUAAUACUAUCUGGAGGAACACAAGCUCCAAUCACACAACCGCUUGUGGUAAAAACCUAAGUUUUGAUGAGCAAUUAUGUUUGGUAAAUUCUUAUGAGUUUUAUACAAAUGUAAAUAUAUAAUAUUAGGUAAUCCUAAAUAGUUAUAUUACGAAGUAUAUUACAAAGUAGAUAUAUUACGUUAAAGGGUUUAGCAAAGUAAAUUCUGUAAAAAAACAAUUGAAAUAAUGAUUUUAUCUGAUGAAUUUUAUCUUAAAAUUAUUUUUUUCAAUUUUGGGUCGUGUUCGUACAAGAUGUAAGUUUCCUCUAAAUAAUUUGAAAUAUUUUAUCCUACAUUGAUCUUUGAAUAAUAAUUUAAUUAAUUCAUAACUAUGAUUAUUUUUUCAUAUGUUAGUCAACGAAGAGAAACGGAUCGGAAACAUAGUUACAGACUGUAUAUAUUGCCAAUAUCCCAAUUCCUGAGUUUAUGGGUUAUCGAUAGUGAAUAUAUCGGCUUGUUUGAGACGAUAAAAAUGAUCAGAUCCUGCAGAAAGGGAUAGAAAAUCAACAUUUUUAAAGUGUUCAGCAAAAUCAGAAGCAUAAUUUCCAAAGCGCAAUUAAUGGCAAGAAGGGGACGUUGUAUUUAUAUUAAGAGACAUACGUAUUCGUAACAAGGCGAGGAAAAGAGAUUAAUACCAUUUGUCUGGACGACCCUUUAGGUCAUUUUUAUUGUCUCUAUGAUUACAUUCCAUCAUAUAUUGGUUUGGGAUGAUAGGAACUUCUUCUCAGACGAUGAAACCCUACAAAGUCGAAAAGGUGUUUGAAUAGUUUGGCUUCAAAUUCUGUACCAAGAUCAGUUAAUACGAAUAAUGGUACACCAAAUCAUGGGAUCCAUAAUUUGACAAAAAUGUGAGCAAUAGAUUCUGCAAUCUACAGAUAUAUUGAUGAUGGGUUGGGACUCAACCCAUACCACGGAAGAGCAUGUAAGAAUUACUUGUAUGGUUCAACAGAUAUUUCUACGGAAUGAAGAGGUCCAACAAUAUCCAAGACUAUCGUUACAAAUCUUCCAGGGGAAUAAAAGUUGAGUUUUAGGAUUUUCAUGUCUUUGUCCCCUGGCAGUUUGGCACCCUACAAACUCCAUCACCCCCUGAUUGAUAUCCGAAUUCAUGACUGGAUAAAAGUAGCGCAUUUCUAUCAUUUUUAAAGAUGAUCUCGUACGUGGAUCAGAUAAUAAAUGAAAUUGUUUAGAGAUUUCCUUUCGAAGAAACAAUGGGACAAAAAAUUUAAAAGUUAACUUAAUUGAAGUUUUCACUAUUGGCAUUUAAGUAUUCCUUGAAAUUAUCGUCAUCUUCCAUGGUAGACUUUUGUUCAAUAGCUAUUUUAAGGAAGUCAGCUACCUUAGUCGAGACAGCACUCAUUGAGCGAAAUAAAUAGUCAGCAACUACGUUAUCUCUUCCAUGAAUGUAUUGCAUAUCUGGAUUAAAUUCCAUCAAAAAGCUAAGAUAUCUUUGCAAACGGUCAGAUUUUGGUUUUUUAUUUGAUUUAAAUGCGGAUUCCAAAGAUGUAUGGUCUGUAAAAAGUGUGACUGUUUGACCUUCAACUUAUGGUCUGAAACGAAUUACACCCAAAUAUACAGAUAAUAGUUCUCUGUCGUAGGUAGAAUAUCUUCUUUGAACGUCAAUUAAAUUUUUAGAAUAAAAACCAUCAGGAAAU
rnacentral:lncRNA from 1 species